GUGAAACGACUCGUUUAACUGAGUUAUGGUAUUAAUUAUUAUAGUUACUAUGAUUAUUAUCAUCAUUAUUAUAUAUAAAUGAUAAGGCAAGGAAAGAAAGUAAAAUGGAGAGAAACAGGAACCACGUUACCCACCUCUGCAGUUUUAAAAUAUAUAUAUAUAUAUAUAUAACAAAAAUAAAAAUAAAAACAGAUUCAGAUUUACUAGACCUACUCACUCUCAAACCCACGUUGCACAAUACCCAUUCCCAAUUGUUUCAGAAAAAAAAAACCGUGCUCUGUCUUUUCUCUUCCAUGAGAAUUUCUUCUCCCUUCACGCAGCAGCUUCUGAUUCCUUCCCUUCUAACCAAUUUCAUCUUCCACUUCCAAUGAAAAUCCACAUCAAGCCCCAUUUAACAUACCCACUCAUAAAGGAAAAUUAUGGCAUUCAAGUGAAAAGGCUUUUGGGAUAAUUUUGGGGGCUUAGGGUUUGUGCUCUAAGGAAGGAGAAGAGUACCCAAUCCUACAUAAUUGUUCUUCCUAUUUCGUUGAGAUUUUCGGGCAAUUGAGUAGCAGUUUGUUGUCAGGUUCAGAUCAUUCUGCUCAUUUCGUUUAUAGGCCUCAUUUAGCAGGUGGUCAUAUUGGUAUCUUUGUUGGUCUUUGUUAUUCUGCAGCUAUAGGGGAGUCUUGGGGGAUAUCAGUUUGAGUUGUUAUUUAUUGUUUAAAUUUAAGAAUUUGCACUUUAGUGCUGAAUUUGGAAUUUAUGUAUUCUUGGAAUUCGAGUUAUGAUAAAUAUCAAUUGAUAGGUUUUAUUAUUUUGGAGAUAUUGAUAUAACAGGAAAGAUUCUUUUGUAUCUUUUUUACAAAUUUUGGUAAACAUGUAUAACUUUGGGAAAUCAUUUUGGAAAGUGGGUUUUGGUUAAACAGGCUUGCCAGGCUAAGGUGAUAGUCUGUGCGCCGGUCACGGCUUAGGAUUUUGGGUCGUGACAGGGAGAUAUUCACAUCUUCUGCAAUUAACCAAUGCCAUUUUGGUCUGAUUCAGGAGUUGAACGUUACCAAUGACCAAUCCAUCUUGGAAAGCAAAUGCCUGGAUAUCCUUGAAUAUGCAAAGUUUUCAAGCUUUGAUGUGGUUCAAUGCUGUGGAGAACUUUGCGAUUCAGCUCGCAAAACUCAUCUCUCAUUGUCAAAUCCUCGCAGUGAUCUUUCCAUGACAAACUUAAUGAAUGGAGCUGUGGUUUCACUCUUAAGUUUGAAAUCUUGGCUUCACUUGCCUGUUUCAUAUGCUCCAUUUGUUUAAUGUGUAACUCACCCUUCAGGUGUAGGCUCUGCAACUGAGUGAGGCUUUUACCUGUCUCUCGCUCCUGCAAUAAACACUGGUAGUGAGACAGUCUAUCACAACCAUUUAUCAUCAAAUACCUUAAAUCUCAUAAUUUAUGUAACCCUGUCAGAAGUUCAAUGAGCUCGCGGCAGUCAGAUAGGUCUAAAACUUGAAACUUACUGUCAGGGUAACAAAGAGUUUCUGGAAAUGUCCCAAUGAGUGUGCAUGACAGAUCUAGAUACCUUAGGAAAAUGCAAAUGAAGGCUCCUCAAUUUCUUAGAUUCAUACAAGUUUUCUGGAAUGGCAUGUUCCCCAAAGUCAGAAACCACAAGGGUUUGAGCAAGAUAUCUUGGCAGGCUACAAGAUUCUAUUAUCAUGAAUUCAUACCCAGCAACCAGCUGCAGAAGGUCAUGAACUAGAUGGUGCAGUCUGCAUUCUGCUACAUCACCAGCCCUUCUUUUGACAACAUCAAAGAAAAGAAAUCCACAUUAACUCCUUGAAACAUUCAUCUUCAGUGUCUUCAAGUGAUUUUCCUCCUUCAGGUGAUUGAAUCAAGCCUUGUGCAAUCCACAAUAGAAUUAACUUGUUCUUCACAAUAACAUAAUUUUUAGGAAAUAUUGAGCAGUACAUGAGGCAUCCUUGCAGAUGAGAUGGCAAAUGACCGUAACUUAACCUUAAGGAUGGCAAAAUUCCAUUCUCACCUUUAAGCACAUUCCACAGUUCACUCUCUUGAACACUCAACCAUUCCCUUUCAUCUCUUUUCAAGCGCAUAAGGCUCCCCAAUGUUUUUGCAGCCAGAGGUGGUUACUAUGAUUUUGCUUCCUUCUGCACAACCACUCAGCAGCACUCUCAGUUUAUCCCACUCAUCAUGAUCUUCACUCCGCACAUCAUCCAGCACAAGAAGAUAUCUUCUCAGCUGCAACAAAUCUCUGAGUUGACACUGAUGCACAUCCAUUCCAACAAUUCCACAUCCCCUUUUGGUCAUAGAUUCUAUGAUUGAUCUUAUGAUGUCCCUCACAUAAUUAAAAAUCCUCAUUACAGAAACUCAUAUUUUCAAAUCAAAACCUAUGGUCACCCUCUCAUCAUUGUAAGCUAAUUGAGCAAGAGUGGUUUUCCCAAUCCCUCCUAAACCAACAAUAGGAAUGACUGGAACAGUUUCACUUCCACCUCCACCAGAGGUUUGGUUUCUCUCAUUCUUCAAAACCAGCUCCAAGAUUUUUCUCCACGGUGACAUUCACCGAGGCGGAGGAGUGAAUAGCUUAGGGGUUGCGUGCCUUACACUCCUAGUGUAUGCUUUUGGAAAUGUCGGAAUUACUGUCAAUUUGCUGAGACUUUCCUCUGAAUUUGCUGCAAACGUGCUGGCAAUUUGUUGUAAAUUUGCUGCCAAAUUUGUCGUAGAUUUGCUGUGAA